rnacentral:rRNA from 1 species
CCCUUAGAUGUUCUGGGCCGCACGCGCGCUACACUGACGAAGGCAACGAGCUUUCCUUUACCGAAAGGUACGGGUAAUCUUUUGAAACUUCGUCGUGCUGGGGGUAGAUCCUUGCAAUUUUUGAUCUUAAACGAGGAAUGCCUAGUAAGCGCAAGUCAUCAACUUGCGUUGAUUACGUCCCUGCCCUUUGUACACACCGCCCGUCGCUACUACCGAUUGAAUGGUUUAGUGAGGCCUUCGGAUCCGCGACUCGUUUUGUGGAGAAGUUGGACAAACUCAGUCAUUUAGAGGAAGUAAAAGUCGUAACA